UACGUAGGUGACAAGCGUUGUCCGGAUUUACUGGGCGUAAAGAGCGCGCAGGCGGUCGUUCAAGUCGAGUGUGAAAGCCCCCGGCUCAACUGGGGAGGGUCACUCGAUACUGAUCGACUCGAAGGCAGGAGAGGGAAGUGGAAUUCCCGGUGUAGUGGUGAAAUGCGUAGAUAUCGAGAGGAACACCAGUGGCGAAGGCGACUUCCUGGCCUGUUCUUGACGCUGAGGCGCGAAAGCUAGGGGAGCAAACGGG
rnacentral:rRNA from 1 species